GGUUUCCUGUGGCUCAGUUGGUAGAGCAUUGGUAGAGUAAACAACGGAAAGGUCGUGGGUUCAUAUCCCAGGGAAAGCA